rnacentral:lncRNA from 1 species
AAGAAUCCUCCAAGGCAUGCCAGGCUGGGUCACUGCGGCUGCUCUAACCAAAACUAUAGACAAAACAAUCCGGACAAGGAUCUCGUUUCGCUUCUCUUGGCCACACAAGCUGGAGAGUCUUCAUCGAAGCUGGUUUGCAGUUUAUUCGAGCUGUAUACUUUUGCUUGCUAGAAUCUUUUUUUUUUUGUUGCAAAAUCAAUUCUUUACACUUUGAUAAGGCAUCCGUUCAUUCAAUUAUAAAUGUCAUUUCUAUUAUUUGAUUAAUCACAAAAAAU